rnacentral:rRNA from 1 species
GCAAGUCGAACGGCAGCAUGCACUUCGGUGUGAUGGCGAGUGGCGCACGGGUGAGUAACGCGUACAAAAUCUACCUUUUACUGGGGGAAAGUCGCUGGAAACGGCGAAUAAUCCCGCAUACGACUUUAGGGACACAUGUUUUUAAAGUGAAAGGCUUCGGUUGGUAAAAGAUGAUUGUGCGUCCCAUUAGCUAGAUGGUAAGGUAACGGCUUACCAUGGCAACGAUAGGUAGGGGCCUUGAGAGGGGGAUC